rnacentral:tRNA from 1 species
GGAAAUGUGCCUGAACAAAAGGGUAACUUUGAUAGAGUUAACAAUAGAGACUUAACCCUCUCAUUUCCU